UUUUGGCAGAGGAAAAAUAUUACAAUAACUUUACAAAUAAGAAUAACUUUACAAAUAAGAGAUGGGAAUAAGUACAAAACUUGAUUUCAAAGAAUAUAACUUUGGACAAGAUAGAUGUAACCAUAGUUUUGAAAUACACGCUAGCUUAGCGAUAAUCUUCAAGAAACAGUAGGGAUGAGAACUAUAUAGAAGGCCGAGCCCACUAGCACUUAGCCACCAUCAUCAGCAGGCCUAGAUCUUCACCUGCAACAUGGUGGUAUAAGAAAGUACUCAGCUAGACUUACCCAUCCAAAACCAGGAAGUAAGAAAGUAAAAUACACCAAGGAUCAUGCAAAGCUUUAUCUAGAGCUGGCUCUUUCUUUUGAAAGAGUACAAGAAUUAAUGUAGUUUUUAGCAUCUUAAGGGGCAUCAUGAUAAUUAAUCAUCUUUUAGUGUUUCAACAUUAUUACCUAUUCUACUACAAAUCUAGGUUGGCACUAGAUUAGCUAAAUGACCAUUUCGAAUUCACUAUGUCUAGUAUGGCUUUAGGGAUUAAUCAAGUUUGGAAAGUAGCUCAUUAAGUAGACAAGAAAGAGUAACCCUUGAUUAUCAGGUCAUCAUUAUUAAUCAAUAAUAAUAUAAUCAUUCUCAUGGUUCUCACUGUGUAGUUCUUACUAUGAUGAAAUAUCUCAAGUCAAGUGCUAACUAUCGAGGAGCGAUGGCGAUUCGAAUCGAUUACUAACCAGCUGGCGGGGUAUUAUUGACACAAACCAUACUCACAGUACUUUGUGGGAUACGAUCACCACCAUAAUUAUUCCAAUAGCAACCUAGCUCCACAUCGUGGAUUCCAUAGGGGCCACCAUACCUAGUGACCGCCUGACUAUCAGAGGGUCAAGGCGUACCAUGCACCAUGAGUCAUCUCACCGUGUCCCUGUUACUCCUCACCCACACUAGUAAGUGCACCGCAAGGUCGAAUCUAGAUAGAAUAGUACUCUGGCUUCGUGGUCAGAACGAAGUAUCCGACCAGCUAAGUAGGCAUGCGUUCAAGAUGAUUCAAGGGACCACAACGGUACGGUUCUUAAUCGACAUAGACGGGUAUAAGUAGACACGAAGACCUCCAUGCCUUGUGUUUCCUUAUCUACAUCCCGUUCGGUAUCAGAUUAACCUUCAUAUUAAUCAUUGAUAUUUCCCGAUGACUUUACCCAAGCAAGCAUAAGGUAAGCAUAGUACCUUGCAGGUGACAGGAAAUCACUCGACUUCUAUUGCCUAAGCAGACCUAAGCAUUUAAGUGUACUUAAUUUACAUAGGUGACAUGGGUAGGGAUAAACAAGGGUAAUCAAGGAUAAAUGCAGCAAUUGUUUCCAAACAACUCCUACAACCUAAUGCAACAAUCAUAGGCAGGUAGGUGAAUAAAAACAGUUAUUGCAAACCAUGGGAAUUAGAUGCUGGGGCUUGCCUGGAAUCCAACACUAGGUUAGUGUUAGGUUAGACGACAUCCGCUAGACGAACGUCCACUUGAUCAUUCAUCUUCUUCGGGAUAAGUCUCAUCUUCUUGUGGCUUCGCUCCAACGUCACAUCCUUCAUGCGUAUGUCUAGCAUACAUGAUGAUAUUCAUGGUGCACAAGUAUGAAUAUAAUAAAAGAUAACAUAAGACUAUAUGUCACCACACGGUAGUGGACUAAGUAUGAAAUAGCAAGGCUCUAUAAACACUCAUACACAAGCACUAGCUAUCCAUACUUCAUCGGCACAUGAAUCUAACAUCACUUUAGAUAUGGGGUAGGCGGCCUAUACUUAACUUAAUUCGCAAGCAAGCCUUACAUGGAAAAAUGGCACGCAUAUCAAUCAUGGGACAUAUUCUAACUUGAGUAUAACAACUAUAAGUCUUCCUUAAUCAAGAACUAUCUAAAUCUACUUAGCCGAACAAGAGCAAUCCCAAGCAGUUAACUUAAAAAUUGUAGUUUUUGGAUAGCAACACAGCCUGUACUUAUUUUAGCCAAAAUCAGAUAUUUAAACAACCAAAACAUGUAAUCCAAGAUUUUCUAGCAAUCUAAUAAAAUUUUCUACGAAACAUUUAUAAUCGACUCAGGCAUGUUCAAUACCUAACAAGGUCAAACAACACAAAGAAGGUGCCUCUGUCCAGAUUUGGACAUAUUAAGACUUCAUACUUCAAACAGCUAUAACUAAAGAUGUAGACCACCAAAAAGAGUGAUCCAUAACUUUAUAGAAAUAUUAGGAAAAUUACUACAACUUCUUUAUAAUUACUAAGAACUGAUUCUAUGUUUAAUUUGGUCAAACAAUACAAUCUUUUAAAUCUAGACAGAACCUGGACAUAUUCUGAUACCAAACCUGUCAGGAGAAUAACUCCUAAACUAUCAGACCUAUGGCCAUCAAAUUUCAACACAAGCAAUAUAAGAAAGUUAUCUACAACUUUUCUAUAGGACAUUUCUACAGAAAAUAGAAUUUAUUUCAUCAAACUAAUGGCACGACAAAAAUAGUGCCUGCUGUCCAAAACAGUGAGUAUUCAAAUUUAGCUCCUAUUUAGUCUCUAUAGUUAUCCCGUUCCUGGCACUUAGAAUACUCUAACACUUAUUCAUUUUUUAGAGCUAAAACAACCUAACAAGCAUCAAGAAGUCGACUUAAAAAUUACUUUUAAUUCAUUUGGAGCACUAGAGUUACAAACAUACAAGUAACAAGCACAUUUAUCCUCUAAUUCGUAAUAAUUGCGACAUAGCUCACACACUAAGAAAACACUAAACACUUUAUAAGUUUAUCAAGGAACGACACCAAAAUACUGACAAAGGUUAGGCUCACAAUUUAGGACACCUCAAACUUAGGCUAUGGGUGGAAGUAAUUUAACUAGCUCUCUAAAUAUCGAAUGUGAUGACCACUAAGGUAAGACACCACUUUGCCAUAUAAACUAAAUAAACACCAACCACUUGACACAUAUUACCAACUAACUGCUUGAAAGUAUAUCCAAAACUUUCACAUGAUACUUGAACCAAAAUCAAACAGUCAACUAAGAACAAGUGACACCAAUGGAUUCUACCAAACUCAUCAUUCGCACAAUCCAUUCAACCAUACCUUGCACACAUAUUUAUCUGUGCACUCUUCAUAAUUCUACACCUUAAACCCACAUCUCACAUCAACACAACGGUUGCUUCCCAAACACUAAUACGUCCAUACAACCACACACAACUGAACCAUUUCAUCAUACAUCUCAUGCACAUCACAAAAAUAACUCCUAAUAGCACAUCUAAAAACAUAAGAAACACCUAAGUUCCUUUCUACUUCACUUGCUUCUCCAUGAACUUUAAUCCAACAUGAACAUUUUCACACAUAAACAUAUCAAAUACAUAUAUACACAACAUCGACCAAAAUACAUGGAGAGUAAACCAAACAUCGGAAACAACCUUACCGAUCGGAUUUGGGUUGUGCAUGUCGCCCACGAAUGAAGCAUUUCGUCGAACGAGUGGUGAGCAAGGCGCGAGGACGAGGGGUUGUGAUUACAACACACAUUUUAUUACACAGUUCACUGAUUUGGUCAUUUUAAUCAAUCGAGGAGCGUGGGACUAUGAGGACAGCAAAGAGCUCACCGGGUUUUACGACAUCGCGACCAAGGCUGCGCAGAUCGGGUCGGCGCACGCGACGAGGAGGGGGUCUCGAGGCUGCUGCUCGCUGCGACACUGCACAUGUCGACGGGGCUUGCUGCGACAUUUUGUCGAACAUGUCGAGGGCUCGUUGCGGAGGAAGAGACGGUGUGGCCGCUGCAGCUCCGCGAACUAGGCGAGGGUACACAGGGGAGAUGCUCGGGUAUCGGCCAGGGACGAGUUGUAGGCAUCCUUGGAACUAGGGAAGCGCGGUCGUUGAUGGUGAAGAUGGUGGUCGAGGAGGAACCGUUGUGGCCGGAGAUGCAGAGCGCCUAAGGGAGCGAACUGGGUGCCAUGGAGGGGGCUCGGCUAGAGCUCGGCCAGCAGAAAGUCGAACGCCAUGGCUGGGAGAGAUGUUGUGCUUCCCGGGGAAGCUGCUCGUAGGGGAGCUCGUGGCAAGGCGCCAUGGGAAGAGAGGCCAUGUGAGGGAGAUAGCCAGCGUAGGAGGAGCCGAGAGAGAUAAGGCUAGAUGGGAGAGGAACAAGGUGUGGCGACUAUGGGAGAAGCAGCUGGCGGAGGUACGAGGAAGAUGAGAAGGUUGUGCAGAUGGGAAGGG
rnacentral:lncRNA from 1 species